UACAGAGGUCCCAAGCGUUGUUCGGAUUCACUGGGCGUAAAGGGUGCGUAGGCGGUUCGUUAAGUCUGUUGUGAAAUCCCCGGGCUCAACCUGGGAAUGGCAAUGGAUACUGGCGGGCUAGAGUGUGUCAGAGGAUGGUGGAAUUCCCGGUGUAGCGGUGAAAUGCGUAGAGAUCAAGAGGAAUACCAGAGGCGAAGGCGGCGAACUGGACAGUUACUGACACUGAACUACGAAAGCGUGGGGAGCAAACAGG
rnacentral:rRNA from 1 species